GGCUUCGUAGCUCAGCUGGUAGAGCAUUUGGGCAUGUUGUUUCUGUCGCUGGUUCGAAUCCAGCCGAAGUCC